UAACUUCCAUGUUAAAGGUAAUCCUGUGGAUUUAUGGUUUUAUUAAAAAUGUUAUAAGGUGAUUAGUUCAAAGAAAUCCUAUAUUGUAGGUACGGGUACUUGGAAUGUUUGAGCAACAUUCAGGCUGUUAUGAAUGUUAUUAUAUAUAAAUGAUGGCCUUUAUAGACAUAUCCCUUUUUUUAAUCUUAACUACUAAUUUUGUAUACAUGUAACUAAUACUAAUUCUUUCUGUAAUAGAACAUUGUAAAGAAAAUAGAUGAGAAAAUAAAGAAUAUUAUGAAGAGAUUUUCAAAAGAGGAAAGUGGACAAAAAGGCCGUAAAAGGCCACGGUCAGAUACUUUGGACACUGGAGAAACAUCCGUUGAACCUGAAGAAAGUCCAGUUCCCAAAAAGAGGUUUGCAAAAGAGGAUAGUAGAGAGAGAAACCUCGAAAUGCCACUGUGUGAUAUUUUGGAAGCCAGGGAAACAUAUAUUAUACCCACAGAAGAUCCAGUUUCCCAAAAGAACAUUCCAAAAGUAGAAAGUACAAGAAAAGUCUGUAAAAGGCCACGGUCUGAUAUUUUGGACAACCUGCCAGAUGACAAAAGAUUUAAACCAGACAGAGCUGACUUAUAGAAGACCCCAAUAAUGAUAGAUGGGAUAGGAGACAAUAAAAUGACGUCAAAGUCCUCAGAAGCCGAAAGACUGUUAUCAGAGGUACAGGUAAUAUCUUUAUCUUAUAUAUUAGGUAUAAUACAUGUAGUGAUUUGACAUUUUGAAGUUCGGAAUGAGAUGACGUUUCAAGCAUGUCUUUUAUUAUUGUAGAUCUCAGAAACCACUGACAAGAGACAUAAGAAUUCAGAGCCAAAAAGUCCAAAAGGGGUAAUUAAAGAGAAGUGUCUUAAAAGACCACUUCCUGAAGAAGAAGAAACAAAAAGAAGAAAAUAAAGAAAAUGGAGAUGAGCCAAAGAAGAAAAAAAUUAGAAAUGUAUCACAGCAGCAAUGAGAAGAGCUAAGAAGUCUAACUGUCCAAUUGGUUUAAAUAAAAAAUAUGUUUCUAUACUUUGA